rnacentral:lncRNA from 1 species
UAAUAAAAUCUACAUUUUCCCCAACCUAUAUAAAAUAUUCAACCGUAUGUCAUUUAUCGUCCCAUCACAAUUCACUUGUUCUUCAAUUAAACUUUGUUUUCUUGAUUGGUGCAACAAAGAAGUAUAGCAAAAAGUAUGUUUUACAAAGCCUACAUAACAUCUCAAGUGGUUUAUUAUAGAUUAAACUCAAUGGUAUGCACUUAACCUCCAUUCAUUUGAAGAACGGAAAAAUAAAGUUUCUUUC